GGUGGUAAUCGGGGGCCUUGUGCUUAGGGAGAAUGCUGAAUAAUUUAACACUUCAUUUCAUGAAAAUUGUCCUUUGAAUUUGUCAGCCCUGCUCUUUAGAGUUCAAGGGGUUUGGUCCAUAUUUUUCCUCUCCUCCAUUCACAAAUAGGAAACCAUCAGACCCUGGAAGGGCCACUUCUGUACAGAGCAAUUUUGCACUAGUGAGGACUGCAGGAGAGCCCAUUUAUAGGGGUAUGCAGAAGGGAUAAGGUAUCAAACUGCAUUUAAUUGCUCUUCUGCUGUGGUGGCUCUGCCUCCCUCCCCUGCUUCUGGCAUCAGCUUUAACAAGUGUCCUGUGUGCUCCUGAGUGGUCCCAGAGACAGCAAAUUGGCAAAGCUAAGUGGUGCUCAGCAUUGCAGGGACUCUGCUGCUGUGCCACUCUUCCUGCAGGACUGGGAGUGUUUCUGAGGGGCAAAAGACUUAUUCUGGCAAACUACAGGUUUGAAACAUUAUUCAGUUCUUCUAUGAGGAAUAAUGUGAGAUUCAAGCCGAUAAGACAGGCUUGAAAAAUGUGGUUUUGUCUUCUAAGUAAGCUCCUGGAACGUUUUGGAAGGGCACUGGCAUUGCAGUAGGUCUGAGAUGACUAUGUUCACUCUGAAAUCAGUGGUUCUAUUUUCAAAGGCAGUGGAGGUCUAUUUGCAGGACUUGUAUUUAAUACUAUGUCAGAUUGUAUCUUAGAAGUACUCAUGGGUUAUUUCUAGCAAUCACUAAGAAUACUUAUGUUAUUUGUAUUCCACUAGAUGUCUUUACUUGCGACAUAUCUUUAAAUGCAUGAGAAAUCAAGUAGUACACUACCCCUGACAGUCACAGUGGGCACCUUCAAAAUAAAAGCUGUUUUGUUUUUAGGGCUCAAAGGCCAGAGCAGGAGACCAAAGGCAUUUUGGUGCUUGAGCCUUGCUGGGGGCCUGGCUGAGGACCCCAGUGCCUGUUUUUUAGGUGAAGCCUUAUUCUAGCAUUUGCAUGUGGCUGGUUUGGGCACGGAGAAGUCUCUCAAACUCCUCAUCACAGGGGUGAGUUUGGCUGGUUUCCCCCUUUGCAGUCAAAUUUUUCAGCUGGAAGUUUAGAUUUUGUUAGGAACAUGGUUCUGCAGAAAUGAUUUCUAGUCACUGUUCCUUGAAAAUAACAUGCUGCUUUAUUAUUAAUGCAUAAAGGAGAUCUUGGAAAGGGUUUUGCUUUUCAGUUGUGUGUUUUUAAACACUGAACCAGCACAUCUGUUCUGCGAGGC
rnacentral:lncRNA from 1 species